rnacentral:rRNA from 1 species
CACGCUGUAAACGAUGGGUACUAGGUUUGGUGGGUCUUGACCCCCGCCGAACCGGAGCUAACGCGAUAAGUACCCCGCCUGGGAAGUACGGUCGCAAGACUAAAACUCAAAGGAAUUGACGGGGGCCCGCACAAGCGGUGGAUCAUGUGGUUUAAUUCGAAGCAACGCGAAGAACCUUACCUGGAUUUGACAUCCUUGGACAAACGCAGAGAUGCGUCUUUCGUAGCAAUACGACCAAGUGACAGGUGC